UGAUCCGCACCAGACUUCUAUUAUUUGUACUCAGUAACAAAGAUUCAUCCUUGUGUCCGUCAAGCAACAAGGAGAAUCUUUGUCACUUAGUGUAAUUAAUAGCUGUACCUCGCAUGGGAAG
rnacentral:pre_miRNA from 12 species